rnacentral:lncRNA from 10 species
UGUUUUUGGAACGUUACUGGGAACUGUGGAGAAAUGAAACAUGAAACACAGGACAAGGCCCCUGCUCUCAAAGUAUACAAAGUCUUGGAGUAUGUCCAAGAAAAGGCAUGCAACAUAAAGAAAAAAAUACAUCAAAGAACAAAGAAGACUGGGAGGAAAAUGAAGAAAACAAAAAAUCAACACACUGUCAUGUUAUUUAAGGCAAAUGGAAAGGGGAGAGAGACAGGGAUUGCUCUACGUUGUCAUGUGCUGUGGGAGGGAGCAUGUUGAAGAUGAAACCUGAAAAGGGGUUAAUUAUUAGUGACCUUUGUGGUUUGUGACAUAGAGAAUGGGGAGUCAAAACAAGAUUUCAAGGCUGUAAAAAAGAGUUUGUAAAAUGUUCAAGGAAGCAUGUGACAAAAGACGAGUGUCUGUUAUAUCCCCUUUGCACUAAAAAAAAAAGCCUAAUUUUCCCUGUACUUUAUCCUUUGCACUCUCCUUGCCUAUAGUAGUUUGUGUAAUUGUUUUCUAUGCAUUUUUCUGUGAAAAAGAUGGACACUAGACUGCUCAUUAAACAAAUAUAAACAAAUAAUUAUAGAAUACUGUUUAUAUAGCUAAUGCUAGAAAUAUACCAGUAAAUUUUCUUCUUGAUGGCUUUGAGCAUUUUUUUCUACAUCAAGUACUAUUGCUUUGUGUAUAUGAUCAAUCUUAUUCUCAAAAUGACCUUGUUGGUUUAUUUUUUUUUUAAAUUUUCUUUCUUACUUUGGUACACUGCAACUGAACAAGGGUUAUCAUUAUUUUUAUUGUUAUUAGCCAAUGAAGCAAAUAGAGACACAGAUAGAUUAAAUAACUUUACUGCAGUCAUACAAAUAGAAAUUAGAGGCAAUUUUAUAUGCACUGGUUGUGACUCUUUUGCACAUGUGAUUUAGAAGGAAACGUAAUAUGGCUCCAGACCUAUGUUCUUAAUUGCCAUUUUACACUUAUCUUUAUUUGUUUCCAACAAAUCCAAUAGACACUUUUCAUGUAUGGGCCACAUAGAGGAGAGACAGCAGCAUUCUUUAUGCUGGAAAUGAACAUAUUUAAAAGUGAAUAAAAAUGGAAAAAAGUAAAUAAAAUAAAUUUUCAAAAUCAGUAAUUCGAGAAAGUAUAAAUUAUUUUAAUAUUAGCUAAAUUAUUGUUUAAUAAAAUUAAUAAUUCU